rnacentral:rRNA from 1 species
AUUGAACGCUGGCGGCAGGCCUAACACAUGCAAGUCGAGCGGAGCGGCGGACGGGUGAGUAAUGCCUAGGAAUCUGCCUGGUCGUGGGGGAUAACGUCCGGAAACGGGCGCUAAUACCGCAUACUAUCAGAUGAGCCUAGGUCGGAUUAGCUAGUUGGUGGGGUAAAGGCCUACCAAGGCGGCGAUCCGUAAGUGGUCUGAGUGGAUGGUCAGUCACACGGGAACUGAGACACGCACCAGGCUCCUACGUGAGGCAGCAGUGGGGAAUAGUGGACAAUGGGCGAAAGCAUGAUACAGCCAGGCAGCGUGUGUGAAUGAGGUCUUCGGAUUGUAAAGCCCUAUAAGUUGGGAGGCGUUACCGACAGAAUAAGCACCGGCUAACUUCGUGCCAGCAGCCGCGGUAAUUC